UGUGUGUGUGUGUGUGUCUGAGGGUUACUAUAGCUGUGAUAAAAUACCAUGACAAAAAACAAGUUGGGGAGAGGAAGGUCUAUUUAUUGUACACUUUCGUAUCAAUGUUCGUCACCACAGGAAAUCAGGACAGGAACUCAAACAGGGCAGGAACUUGGAGGCAGAAACUGAUGCAGAGACCACGAAGGGGUGCUGCUUACUGGCUUGCUCUCCAUAGCUUGCUUAGCCUGCUUUCGUAUAGAACCCAGGAAUAGCACCCACCCACAAUGGAUUGGACCCCUCCUCAUUGUCUUAGUUUGGGUUUUACUGCUGUGAACAAACACAAUGACAUUUAAUUGGGGACGGUUUGCAGGUUCAGAGGUUCAGUCCAUCAUCAUCAAGGUGAGAGCGUGGCAGUGUCCAGGUAGGCAUGGUGCAAGAGGAACUGAUAGUUCUCCAUCUUCAUCUGAAGACCGCUAGGAGAAGACUGGCUUCCAGGCAGCUAGGGCAAGGGUCUUAAAGCCUAUGCCCACAGUAAGGCACUUCCUCCAAUAAUGCCACACCUCCAAAUAGGGUCCUUCCCUGAUCCAAGCAUAAUUAAACCAUCACACCCAUCAACCACUAAUUACAAAAAUGCCCUACAGCCUUGUCUACAGCCCAGAUAGCAACCUUAUAGAGGCAGUGUCUCAAUUAAGGUUCCUACCUCUCAAAUGAGUUUAGUUUGUGUCAAGUUGACAUCACAAUGUGUAUCUCAGGAAAGAUGAAAGUGGAACAGUUUUAUUUCCUGGGAUUUGUAUGAGCAGAAACUUUGUGUGACACAGAACACAAGUAUUCUUAAGGAACACAGUAGUUCCCUCCAACUGGAGUGCAGGUUACAGUCACCUGGAGAGCUUGCUUGGCACAGAGAUUUUUGGGUUUAUUACAGAAGUUAUGAUUCUGUGGAUUUGGGAGAAGGUCCUAGAGUUACUACUUCCACAAAUGAGUCAUGUGACUGUAAAACAGCCUUCGGGUAGAUGGGGUAGAGAACCACCUGUGGAGAGUUCCAAGUGUGCGUGUGUGUGUGUGUGUGUGUGUGCAAGCAUGUUUGGCUGUAUGAGUGCAAGCACACAUGUGCCAUGUGGUACGUGAAAGUGUCAGCGAACGGUAUUGGAUGUGGUCCUUGCCUUCCAUCCAGCCUGUACGGUGAAGAAUGGAUUGCUGUAGAGGACAUACCCCUGAGGAAAAGGGUACAACCCAACGCUGGAAAAGUGGGUAGGCAGCAGCAAGGCUUGUCUGUUUACAUCAGUGGUUCUCACCCUUCCUAACAUUGUGACCCUUUAAUAGUUUCUCCUGUUGUGGUGACCCCCGAACCAUAAAAUUAUUUUCAUUGCUACUUCAUAACUAAUAACAUAGUGACAUAGUAAUUUUGCUACUGCUAUGAAUCAUAAUGUAAAUAUAUGCUAUGCAGGAUAUCUGGUAUUUGGUCCCUAUAAAAGGGUCAUUUUGGCCUUGACACCCACAGGUUGAGAACUCCUGAUUUAGAUUCUUUUAACCUAUCUGAGAAGCAUUCUUUCCUCCUGGGUGUAGACAGGACCCUUUACGGAAUGAAGGGCUUAGCUCUCCUAUCAGACAAGGUAGGUCAGAGAGUUUCUUUAUGGCCAUCUUUAACAUACAGCGUGUGUUAGAUUAAUCUUUUGAAGCUGUAUGGCUUGCUUUGGGUCAAGGAAUCCUGGUAUUCUGUGGCUCGCCCUCGGAAAGAGAGAUUUCAGGUUCUUUGCCUUACCCUCUGCAGAGAAUGGGGAUCAGGAGACAGGAGGAAGUGCUCAUUAAGAGACUUUGUUUCAGAGACCUUCACUUUGUAUUUGUGGGCUUUUUUUUUAAGUUCUAUUUAUUUAUUUUAUGUAUGUAAGCUCACUGUUGCUAUCUUCAGACACAAUAGAAGAGGGCAUUGUAUUCCACUACAGAUGGUUGUAAGCCACCAGGUGGUUGGUGGGAAUUGAACUCAGGACCUCUGGAAAAGCAGUCAGUGCUCUUAACCAUUGAGCCAUCUCUCCAGCCCCUGGGGUAUUUUUAAAGUCCCAAUAUCAGCAUGGUGCUGAUGGGCAGCUUAUUUCUAAAGCAAGAACAGUGGUUUUCCUUCCUAUGCAUCUUCAGAGAAAUUGAGAAUGGUGUAGCUCUGGGACAGGGCUCCUGUGCUGGGGACUGCACAGCUAUUAGACUCUGUCUUGUCAUAGGCUCUCAGGUCCUUGUUCUCCUUUCCUCAGUGUGCUAUGGAUUGUCCCCAUCCCCCUAGUCCUCACAGCAGGCCUGAUGUAACCCUCUGCUCAGUGUGUCACCAUCUGAGUGAUGAGGACAAGGACAAGAUUGGCUGCAGUCCUGGUUAAGUAAAGUAUUGGAUUUUUUUUUUUUCUUCUUAGUUUCAUGAGGGGAUGGUUCUAGGAGUUGGGUUGAUAACUCAGUAAAGGGCUGGCCUACUCGCUGCUCAAGCAUGAGGAUAGGGACCUAAUGAGUUGCUAGGGAGCUGCUGGGGACAUAGAGGAGAUGGUGACUGUGGUGUGAGAAAUUUUGCUGCCUAGCAGCGCCACCUGGGCUACCCUCUUUCCUUCAGGCUCCAUCAUAGGUGCUUUUGUGAUCUCAGCUCUAAUGAGGUAGGGAUGGGAUUUCUUACCAGAUCGGCGAGUCCUAGGCUAGUGAAAGAUUUUGUCUCCAAGAACAAGGUUGGGAUUGGAGAGAUGGCUCUCGUGGUGAAGACGUGCCUGCUGCACAAGCAAGUGGAUCUGGGUUUAACUCCUCAGCUUUUACGAAAGAAAAGGGAAAAGAAGGCAGUUGUGGCCAUGUGCGUAUGUGAUCCUAGAUGUGAGGAGGGAGACACACGCAAGUCCUGGAGCUCUCCCUGUGGGGGGAGGGGGCAGUCUAGCCAAACUCCUGAGCUCAGGCUUCAGCAAUGGAGCCCAUCUCCAAAGCUAAGGUGAAGUGGGAUUGAGGAAGACACCUGGUAGCUACUUUUUGACCUCCACAUGCAUGCACAUACUCACAUGCACACACCCACAUAAAUACGUACAAUCUCUCUCUCUCUCUCUCUCUCUCUCCCUCUCUCUCUCUCACACACACACACAUACACACACACACACACACACACUCCACACACACCUCUCCUAUAAAAAAAGAAAACAAAUGAAAUACCAGAAAACAAGGUGGAUACCUCCUGAGAAAUGACCCUUGAGGCUGACCUAGGACUCCACCUCAUGCACACACGAGUGCACAUAAACACACACGGGCACAUAAGAAAAGCUCGCUCUAUUAACUGCUCAAGUGAAGAUUUCUUUAAACUUGGUUUUUUCAUGUUGAUUCGAUUUUAAUACUGGCUCUCUAGCCCCUGAUUAUUCAUCAUGUCUCUAACUUCUAAUCGAAAACCAUGUGACAAGUUUGGUGUUUUAUUCAAACUGUAUUUUAAUGGUAAAUACCAUAUCACUUAAAAAGACCUAAGAGAGACGUGCUCAUUUCUCUUCUCUCUUGUCAUUUGUUUGCCAUUUGGAAAAUUAUAUAACUGACAGAUUAAUAAUUUUAAAAAAAGGAGCAAAAAAAUUUAGUCCAAAGGCUUAGUAAAAGCAGGAGUUUCAGGCCGGAGGGUAAUUUUUGAGGAAAGUAUUAGGAAUGUAAAGACUUUGAAUGAAGUGCCUCCGGCCUAUGUAAAUGUCUUGGAAUGUACUAGAAAUACAGCAAAAGCUAUUAGAAUAUAGCUUGUCUUUCUAUUGUAUUUGCAUGCCCACCACACCCUUAACUAUACAACACUGGUAUUUUAUCUCCCAUUUAGCAGUUAAUUUCUCCAAUUAAGAAAAGUUAUGAAUUAUCCAGAAAGGCCCUGUUGAUCUAGUGACACUUGGUCUGUGCACAUUGGAUUCUGUCCAGGGGAUUUUUGGCCCUGGCAUCUCCAGAGCCAGUCUAUUAUCAUAUGGGUGCCUGCCCUCUCAUCUGCUGAGCAGGUGCCCAUGCAAGAGGUGGACCAACUUCUCUUCCAAGGCUCUCCUUGCAGCAGGGUAUUAAGGGGUUAUAAACAGGUAGCCCAGAGCACUGCCUGCUCCUGCAUAAAGUAGGAAGUUGGAAUCAGAGAGAUAGCUUUGCUUCACUUUCUAUUUAAACAUCUUAGCCUCCCCCCAACCCCCUGCUGAGCUAUCAUUUCAUGACCUCCAUGAGAAAUUUGCCCUGGCUCAGUUUUGGCCCAAUCGGAACUGAUCUACAAGGCAGAGACAUUUGCAAAGCCCAAUUGUUUGGGCCUCAGAACCAAGGGUCUGUCUGUGCUCUGACUCCCCUUUGUUUCCUGGUUGUCUUAACCCAGGCAGGGACCACAGGGACCUAGGUGGCUGUGCUCUAGGGACAUCUCUGACUUAGCCCGGGGGGGGGGGGGGGGAGUAUGGUGCUCUAUACCCUUUGUUUUCAGGUAGAGCCUUGCAGCUGUCAAAACAAAGGCCAACAGUCCCAUUGCUCCCUCCCUUCCCUGGGAGCACAGACUUAAACCUGCCCAAGUCAGGAAGCUCACAGGGGCAGAGCGGGCCAUAAGGCAAAUGAAUGCCUCUUUCUGUGUCCAUAGGUGGCCGUCUUCAGGGCUGCCCAUCCUUCCAAAACACUCAUCUGCUCACUUCUGUUCCUCAGAGGCCAUUUGUAAACCAAGCAGGGUCAGAGUAAGCCCCCUGUCUGCCGAUGCCCAAAGCCCAGGACCUCCACACCUCCUACUUCCUUUGGUAUAUCCUGCCAUCAUCCCAAAUUUCCAAGAACCUUCCCCUUCCCAGGGCUCCCAGGAUCCGGUUCUGUAGAGAACCGUUUUAUGCCUUUGUUUGAUUUCUAAUGUUUGCAAUUUUGUCGCUCAUCCAAAGUGUCCCAAAGCCCCUGUUGUGUUUUUGGAAAAUAAUCUGAAUUAGGAAGCAGGGACAGUUUCUCAGCUCUGCUCUUAGUGGGAGAACAUGAACCCUGUCAUGGCUUCUGCACACCUACUCCAGAGAUCCAGAUGAUAGCCUGGCCAUCUGUUUUGGGGAAAUGAGCUUGACAUGUCUUGUGCCCUCUGCAACUGGCAGCUGGCUCUUUUCGUGGCCCGAGUUAUCCUGAGCUAGGUGAUGUGUUCACCCACUCUGUGGCCCCCAGGUACUCAUGAGUGCCAGGUGAUAAAUCCCAAUCUUAGAGUCCCCACCAUGUCAAAAUCGGCUAUGGCUUUACUUAUACACAUAGCAGCUGGGGUGUCUUUUUCUGCCUUUGGCAGUGCCAGGACUAACUCAGCCCUUUAUCCUCCUGGCUCAGUCGCCUCUGCUGUGAACUGGGAACGGCACCACUACAGCACGGAUGGUUCCUUACCAACCAUCAGGCUGGUUGUGAGCAAUUCUGGAGGGAGACCCUAUGGCUAUAAGUAAUCCUGUAUGUGUGUGUGUGUGUGUGUGUGUGUGUGUGUGUGUGUGUGUGUGUGUGUGUGUAUGUGAGUGUGUAUGAGUGUGAGUGAGUGUGUAUGUGAGUGUGUGUAUGUGAGUGUGUGUGUGUGAGUGUGUAUGUGAGUGUGUAUGUGAGUGUGUGUCUGUAUGUGAGUGUGUGUAUGUGUGUGUGAGUGUGUAUGCAUGUGUGAGUGUAUAUGAGUGUGUGUAUGUGGGUGUGUGUGAGUGUGUAUGUGAGUGUGUGUAUGUGAAUGUAUAUGUGAGUGCAUGUAUAUGUGAAUGCUUGUAUAUGUGAGUGUUUGUGUAUGUGAGUGUGUGUAUGUGAGUGUGAGUAUGUUUGUGUGUAUGUGAGUAUGUGUGUAUAUGUGUGUGUAUGUGAGUAUGUGUGUCUGUGAUUGUGUGUGUGUGUGUAUGUCAGUGUGUGUAUGUGUAUGUGAGUGUGUGUGAGUGUGUGUGUAUGUGUAUGUGAGUGUGUAUGUGUGUGAGUGUGUGUGAAGAGCAUAGGUGAACAUCAGUGUGUCUUCCUCAAUCGCUCUCCAUCUUUCUCUUGGAAACAGGAUCCAGCUAGACUAGCUAGCCAGGGAGCUUCCUGUUUCUAUCUCAGCGGUGUUGAGAUUACAAGGGCAUGCUGCAGUGCCUGGCUUUUUAUAUGGGUAUUAGGGAUCCAAACACAGGUCCUUGGGCUUGUGCAGUAAGCAAUUUACUCUAUAGCUCCUAUUAUUUGUCUUUUAAUUAUUUUACCACUAAUGCUAGACUAACCAAAAAAAUAAAUCAGUUUCUGAAUCCUCAGAUGUUGAACUGAUUAAGAAAGAGCCCUAGGGAUAAAGAACAUGCAUUCUCUCUCUCUCUCUCUCUCUCUCUCUCUUUCUCUCUCUCUCUCUCUCUCUCCCUCUGACACACACUCUCUCACGUACACAGAUGUAUGCAUACACUGGUGCUCUAGGGAGUUCCUUCGAGGCUCCUGAAAUUUGCUGGCUCUAGUACUUUGGUAUUUCAGAAUAAGUGGCCUGAAAUGACCUUCUGGGGCAGCAGGCUUCGCAUCUGGCAGCAGCCACCGCUACCACGGACCUAAUGAGUUGCUAGGAAGCUGCUGGGGGGCAGAGAGGAGCUGGUGACUGUGGUGUGAGAAAUGUUGCUGCCUCGCAGGGCCACCUCUUGCUUCCAGGCUUCAUCAUACCCUAUUGCUUUUCUUCUGCACAUCCUCUGAAAUGCUACUGCUGCAAGGUGGAGAGCCCAGCGUACUGGGUAAGAAACCCCACCGAGAAGGCUGGAGAGAGCUGCAUCUAGCUCUUGGCCCUUUGCUCUGCAAGAACCCACUACUUCCCCACAGGCUCCAAGGUCAGGGACAGACUGCCACCCUGGUUCUUGGAGCCAUAGGACUGCUCUGGCUCGCAGAGGCAGGCAGGGUUUCUUUUCUUCUUUUUCCUUUUAUCUUUCUUUCUUUCCUUUUUUUUUUUUUGAAGGGAGUUCUGCUUUGGGCCAUUCUGAGCCACCCAGCCUUCUGUCAGUAGGAGCUCUUAUCUCUGUUAAUAAGAGAAGUCUGAUCCCCAGCUUCCUGGACAAUGCUGAUUUCCGAGUUCAAAGCCUUUUCUGCAUGCCAUUUCCUGGAGACAUGAUUUGCCACUUUAAAAAAAAAUUAAUUCUCCUCAUGUCUCCUGUCUUCCUAACUGUAUGCACUUCAGAGAUCUUUCAAGGAAACACAGGCAAACAGAUCAGUGUGCCAUGUUCCUGCCAGUAGCCUUGAAGGCCCGUUGAGGAGAGCAGCGAUCUUCACAGCCUGCUUUGCUGAUGAUUCUGUGGUUCACACCCAAUUUGUAUCUUAUUCAAUGACAUGGGAGAAUGGGAGACAUCUAUAGAGCAGGUGGGACCAUCCCAUCGUGACUCCUUUGAUGGAAGGAGACAUGGAAUUAAAAACAAAAUUCCCCCUUGGUUGUCGAGGCUGAAGAUUUAUAGAGUAUCUCUUAUUCCUCUGAUAACUUUCUAUCCAUUCUUGAUUUCUCUCUGCUCCCCAGCCAUAGAGAGACUGGUCCAAUCAAUAUUUAUGUGCCCAUCACUUGCAGCUGCGACACGCAGGCAAUAAUGACUGCCAAAUUCCUUGAUGGCCAUUGAAAUAUUCACGGGUGCCUGUAUCAGAGACCCAUUGUUUCCCAGCCUCUCAGGAAGAGCCGGCCAUGUGAUGCAAGGAUUAAUUAAGCCUCUCAGAUAAUUGGCUAUUAAUAGAUGGCCAAUUGAUGACUGCCAGCUGGGUGCCGAAUUGACUAAUGUCCUUAUGGUGGGCAGGUGGUUGACUUCAGAAGAGAAACGGGCUGGAAGACCUGACUAAUUAAAUACUGAAUCAGGAAAAGACAGCUAAGAGGUAGCUUCUUGCCCCCCUUCCUUUCCUGUGAUAUUUUACAGUUUACAAAGCAUUUAUCUGCACGGAUGCUUCAUUUGAUCCUUACCGUGCCCCUGUGAGAUGGAAGCUACUCCUAUUCUUGUUUUCUGAGAAGGGACCUGAAACAAUAACUAAAGGAAAUGCAAAGUUUGUCUGGAGGGGGUCUGUGGAGCCUGAAGGCCACCCUACCCCGGUGAUAUGGGAGGAUGCCUGAGCUGGAGUGGCAGAUUCCGGCUGAGAAGUGGAGAGAGGCUGCCUGCACACUAUUCUCUAUUCCCAUCUUUAGACAUCUGUGCUGACCUCAUUUGGGGACCCUGUGCUCUCUCAGCCAUCUCCCCUCCCAGCCUGCACAGUCUGACCACAGGAGAUGAGUCUCUGCCUCCGUCCGUAAGGUUGCCUCAACCGGGAAGUCAGCGGAGUUGUAGAAUUAAGACAGACUGCCUACCCUUGAUUUGACCCCUUUCCUGAAGAACGUGGUCCUUAAACAAUCAAAGGUAAUUCCCUGCAGAGAAGGAAAAAAAUGUAAUUUGAAAGAAUUGAACACAACCUAUUUGCAAGGCAAGGCAGGAGCAGAUAGAUGAAUCCAGGGAGCCAGUUGAGAGGAUACCUACCAUCACCUUAGCUCCCACCUUCUCUGCUGCAGGGGGUUCCCAGCUUGUGUCUAUUCAUAGAGAAUAGACCAUAAAGGUUACCCGGGAAGAUGGAAUGAUGACUGCUUGGUUCUGCCUGGCAGAUGGACUGCUGUUUCCUUACCCAUUCUAGGCUGGCUUGGAGACGGGAGCAGUGCACAUCCCUAGACUCAGCAAAGCACAAAGGCAAGCUACUUAGCAUCUCCUUGGGCAUGCUGCCUACACUUUGGGUAAACUACGGAAAGGUUCAGGGUGGUGUUUUUGCUCUAGCCCCUAAAUGACAAGGUGAGUGGGUGCUCUGUUCCAAGAUUCCAAACUGAAACACAAAGUUCUUACUGUAGUGCACGUCUCCGCUGUGUUUUUAAAGGACAUGUUUGCAGUGUAAGGAGAUAAGCCUUGAACUGUCUCCUCUGCUCAGUGGCUGGCCCUGAUGACUUGGUAGAUAUUUGUUCAAUUCCUGGUCACAUCAGCUCUGCAAUUCUCCCUGCCUUGCUUCAAACCGAGAUUGCUGUUUCGGUUGUGUUUCCCCUUAAAACUGAACAUAUGUUUUGGAAAACUGCUUGUCAUGGUCUACUAGAGUUGAACAUGUGUGUGUGCCUAUGAUCCUGCAAUCUCAGACCCGCUCUAAAUAUAUUCAAAUUGUAGUUGGCCAACUUAUUUUCAGCUUAUAUGCAAUUGUUCAACUCUGUAGUUACAGUGUGAAGUCUGAGAUAUAAAUGGGUAGGUGUGGCUAUAUUCCACUACAUGCAUUAUUUCUGGAAACCACAAUCUGAAUAUUAUAUAUUUUUCAUAUCUGGCAAGAUGGUUUCUUACAUUGGUAAUAUUUUCAGAUUUUUAUGAAUGUAAAAUAAUCCAUUCUGUGUGUAAGGUGUGCUAAGCCAGAUGCUGGGUCACCUUUGGCCUGCAAACUGGGAUUCUACUUAUUUCAGAAUACCAAAGCAGAUCUGUCAUGUUGGAGGUCAGUGUCAUGGUUGGCCUUGGUUGAGGUUAGUAGCUAGAAGGUGAUGGGAGCAUUUUGUAUGGGCCAUCGGGGGACAUUCAGGCUUCUGAUCUGAGUGGCGGUUUCACAGGCAUGCCUGCCUUAUAAAAAAACCACUGAAUGCCCAUCCCUUAUCUUCUGCUUGUUCUGUUUCUGUAGACAGUUCAAAAGGAAAAAAACCCGAACUGAGUGUGGCUGGAGUGUGACUUCAGGUCUUACCACCUCAUUUAGGGGGCAGAGCCUAGCAGUCGUCUCCACUCUUUUUAUAGGUACUGUUUUCUGAUCUCUGAAUAAGGCAGUCUUUGGAGAAAGGUGUUGGCUUGACUUUGCAGUUUCCCAAUUCCUGCUCCCUUUUGUAGACAGGCAUUUAACAGCUGGUGUGGCAGAGGUUUCUAGUCAUCUGAGGUGUGUGCUGAGGACUCGCCUAUUUGCUGCUGGAUCAGAAGGAUAAAGGAUUCCCAGGGGAGACCAGGGGAAGUAGAGGGCAUCGGGCACACUGAGAACUGUGAGCAGGACUUUGGCUGGAGUAGUUAUCUUAUAGUACAACUUGUCUAAAAUGUACCUACUUUUUGUAGGUAAAGAGUAAGAGCUUAAUUUCAGGAAGUGCAAUUACACAGAACAAUAUGCCACAAAGAACACAGAGCUCUCUUUUAUGCUUCUGAGAAAAAAAGCAGGGAAGGGACACUGGUGCCCUGGCCAGUCAGGAUGCUCUCUGGAUACUCAUCUGUCCAGGACAGGGGCCAGUGUGGGAUGCUCCCUGGGGUACUCAUCUAUCUUCCAGGACAGGAGCCAGUGCAGGAUGCUCUCUGGGGUACUCAUCUCUCGUCCAGGACAGGGGCAUCAUUACUUUUGUUUUCCAAAACACCCAGAGGCAUCCAUGUCAGUACAUGCCUGUAAUCUUAGCACUGAGGCUGAGGCAAGAGAACUGUCGCAAGUUCAAGGCUACAUAGUGAGUACUGUGGGUAUGCAUUAAUUACCUACUUAUGACCAGGCUUCUAUAAGCAAACAGAAACCAUAAAUACCAAACAGAGUCCUCUAUCUCUUGAUCUUCCCUCCUCUUUCUGUUUUACUUUCUUUCUAUGUCCCCACACUCGUCCAGGACUUCCCUCCCUCCCUAAGUCAUUCCAGUUCUUCUCUCUUGAAGGUGAGAACCUAGAAAUGGCAGCCAGGCUCAAGCCUACACGUCUCCUGUAUCCCAGAAUUCUACACAUCUUGAUUACAUCAUAAACUCUGAGAAAGAUAGCUUUGUAUCAGAAGCUAUCUCUUGUAGCAUGAGUUAUUUUAGGGCACUAUUUGAGGAGAAAACUUUACAACAUUUUCAAAGAGAAAUAUGUUGUGCUUUCAUCCCACUCCAUCGCAGAACAGCAAGAGUGUUUCUGCUCCCAGACUUAACCUUCCAAAAAAGCAAGUUUCUAGACUCUCACAUUCUUGAGCAUGCUAAGGUGCUUCAAGAGCAUCUCAGGAUUGAUUACAGAGGGAACCGUGAGGAAUUAGUCAGCAGAUGCUCAACAUACAAAGGCUGCAGUCGAUGGCUUAAAAACUCCUCAGCAUCACCCCUCAGAGAGGAAUCGUCCUAUAUCUAGCAUAAUAACACCAAUUAUUUGGUUGUUUGUGCUGAGAAGUUGAAAGCUAUAGUGUGCCCGGAAAAUACUCAGCAUGGAGCAGUAAUUAUAGAUCAGCUGACAAUAGAAGACGCAGUGGUUUGACUGCUAAUUAGAUUAUUAGCACUCAAAACAAAUACCUGCUAUUAACCAUAAAUGAGCUGUGUUUAUGAGAUUUUCUUCUCCUUUUUGUACUUAUUUCUUUUUUAUAGUGUGUCAUUUGCUUUCUCCUAUCUGUGCCCUGACUCCCCAGGUCCCUAUCACAUGAAGCAUAUUUUGUUUGUUGAGUCUCCAUUAAAGUGUGUGUGCGCGCGCAUGCAUGCUGGCAUGCUUGCGUAUAUUCAUGUGUGUUGCUUUUCAGGUUCACAAGGGGUCAGAGUGAUGUCAUGUAUUGUCACAUGUCAGAGCCCCUGAUGGAAUGCAGCAGGUCAUUUUAGGAAGAAGCACUUUGGGGCCUGAUGUAGGGGUGAAGAGAGAGGGAUUAAAGGAUUUGGGGGUGGUGAAAUUGUGCUAGGGUUAAUCACCAAGGAAAUGAAAGAUCUGGCUGCUUUAACUUGUGUGGCACUUGUUACUUUGGACUCAAGGGAAAUGCAAUGGGCAUCUGGGUUUUCCUGUAUUCCUCUACCCACAUUCACCAAAUAGGGCAUCUUCCUAUGGGCAGGUACACUGUGUGCUCCCAUAUAAAUGAGAUGCCUACUCUUCCUGCCCUAAAUGGUUCUGCAUACUGUAGAGAUGGUGGUCUGGAGGAGCCCCUGGGUACACUUCAGGAUAUGUGGAGAAAGAAUUCAAUCUACAAAGGCUCCAGCUAUGCCCUCUAUAAAUAGUGCAAGUGAUUCUUAGCGUGUCUGCAUGGACUAGGUCUCUGGGAGUCCCUAUUGUUCACCAGGAGUUCAUGGAAAAAGAUACUAUCUCCAGGGGAGAGGGUGCACAAGUGUUGGGGUGUUAUCUGUGUUGUCUUGUAUUCUUUACAAUCAUACUAUGAGGUAGGCAGGCUGAGAUUCAGCCAUGGACUCCAGACCAUUCAUUCAUAACUGCUUGGCUGCUACUUUGCAGAUGUAUCAGCUAGCUAUCUUUAUCUUAUAAAUAUGGGAUUCGAGGGUACUGAAAGCCCAAUAACAUGCCUAAGCUAAUAGAACUCAGUAAUAUGCACAUUAGCACAGAUCAUAUGAAGCCAGAUUCCAGGACGUGGUUCCAUGGGGCAACUGGUGAAUAUUUUUAAAAGAGAUUCCUGUUUCAUCCCUACCCAACAUGGGGAGAAAGAGGGCAACGUGGCCUGCCCAAGGCUGCUCUGGGUCACUGCUGUUUGUGAAAGCCUUCAGAGCAUGUGAAGUACGACAACCGGUGCCUGUGCUAGGGUCUGGCCUUCGCUGCCCAGGAAAGGUUCUGAGGGAGUGGGAGAGUGUGGGACAGUAGCUCUCUGUUGGUCCUUGGCCACAUUUGUACCUGGAACCUUGUCUCCCUCUUGGAUAUGGUACACAGUUGCUUACACUGAGAAAAUAGACUUGGGGAAAGGGCAUCUUGAUGGAGGACUGUGAGAUGCCUAGAAAUAUUUUCUCUCUUUUAAGUAAAAAGUGGAAUGUGAGUUCAGGAGAAUGUAGCAAAUCUUCCCUAGGCUUCACGGGGAUAAAAGUUGGUGACAGUUGCUUUUGAAUUUACUCAGAGUUGUUCUGCAAGGUUGAUUUCUCUCCUGACCACACCACUUUUCUGUUAGCUCAGGAAACACUGGUUGAAGUUUAAUCUCAUCCUUAAAGCCGCUUCACUAGAAUGGGAGCCUGUUAUUCCACAGGCCCUCUUAUUAGAAGAGGAAGGAUUUAGUCCAGCCUUUUAAAAUCAUUUUAGUGAUUUUUGAAGAAGCUCUUUCUGGGAUCCACUUGUCUCCAGAGUGUCUGCUAUUUCAGAAAAAAAAAAAAAUAGCACUAGUGCAAGGAUGUGGGGAAAGGAAAAGCCAAGGUCAGCAGAGAAAGUGGGCUGAGUGAGCAGCUCACAUGGUAGCUUUCAUCCAAUCAGCACAGAGUAUGUAGCUCACAUGGUAGCUUUCAUCCAAUCAUCACAGAGUAUGCAGUUCACAUGGUAGUUUUUAUCCAAUCAGCACAGAGUAUGCAGCUCACAUGGUAGCUUUCAUCCAAUCAGCACAGAGGCCUGCCCUGGGCCUAGGUCAUCUUGGGGGUCGGCCUUCAAGUCAAACUUGUCAUAGCUCCCAGACAAGAUAAUUGAAGUGGGAGAAGGGUCAUUUCACAAUGAAAAUAAUAUGAAUCCUGAUUUUAUUGUCAAUAAGGUUUUAUUGAUGCAGUCACAUUUCUACUACAAAUUUGUCCAUAGUUGCUUUCAUACUACACAUCAGAGGCAAAUAAUUGUGGCAUCCUAUAGAGCUGGGCCUUUAACUGUCUGGCUCUUUAGAUGUUUGCUAACUCCUAAGUUUUACCUUUUGUUUCUCAAUAUCUAGUUCAUUGGUCCAGGGAUGUGGGUCACCGUCGAGAUGGUUGGGGAUGCAGAGUCACUGGCCACUCUAGACUUAGUCAUUCAAAAUCUGCCCUGUAAUAAGAGCCCAUGGUGAUGUGUCUGCUGAGAAAGGCUGAGGAACUACACUCUGGUUGCCAUUCUUUGGUUCUCAAACCCAUUGCAAUUUCCCUCACCUUUUGGGUUCUUGCGGGGCACAAGUCAUGGGGAAGUAAAAGGGGUGGGAGAGAUGACCUACGUCCUGCCAGAGCUCGGGGACUCUGGGAGGGCAGACCCCGAGACUGCAGAGAGAUCUCCAUGCCAGUGGGUGAGUGUCUGGCUGUGGGAAGCCACGGAACCCCAGACUUUGGGGAUGCAGAGGGAGCAGUCUGGGGUCCCUGGACCUCACGGAAGUCAGGGACCACAGGUUCUAGCUCUUGGGCAUCGCUGGACACCUCGGAAGAGCUGAGAAUGGGUGGAGGCCCCGGGGGUGGCUCAGUCAGCCCCCAGGGCUGAAGGGAGAAGGGGCAGGGGAGAGUAUGAAAGCAUCUUAUUAUAUAUGCUUUGUUGUAUCUUUCUCUUUGCUUAACUAUAUAUGAUAGGUAUCUUCUUUCAGCUGGUCUCUUAUUUUUAGUAUAAUAGUCUGUAGUAUCUAAAUGACUUAUGUUCUUCAACCAUUUUCAUGUCACAGACAUCCAUGUUGGUUCUCAUCUCUAGACACUUGUUUUUACAUCCUGGGGACUUUGCUUCUCUGGGAUGCAUUUUGUGAUGUAGAAAUGCUGAGUUAAAAACGAGUUCAUGCUGUUUAAUAUUAAUGGACUUUAAAGAUUGAUUUAUAAAACAAUAAACAAUCCAUAUGCCCCUUAGAGAAUUAAGAGAGAACUCUUUCCUUAACAUUUCUUUGGUUACUAAUAUUAAUUUUUUUCAUUUUGUCUGUCUAAAGGGCAUCAAGGGGACCCAGUUGCAAUUUUAUAUUGACGUACGUACAUACCAGAGAGGUUGGAUGUGGCCUCAGAUGCUUAUUGCUCAACAAAUCCUAGCUUCUCCUUGGGCACACAAUAAGAUGCACUUCCCACUUGGCAUUACAUUUAACCGUGUAGCUAACUCUCUGCCAGUAGAAAUGGAUGAGAAAGAUGAGUAGAAGGCCGUAUCUUCAGACAACCUUUCAUGUAAAGAGCCUCUUCAUUCUUUCUGCCAGAUGAAUGCAAAUGGUACAUGUCUUAGACAGGGUUUCUAUUCCUGCACAAACAUCAUGACCAAGAAGCAAGUUGGGGAGGAAAGGGUUUAUUUGGCUUACACUUCCAUGCUGCUGUUCAUCACCAAAGAAGUCAGGACUGGAACUCAAGCAGGUCAGGAAGCAGGAUCUGAUGCAGAGGCCAUGGAGGGAUGUUCUUUAUUGGCUUGCCUCCCCUAGCUUGCUCAGCCUGCUCUCUUAUAGAACCCAAGACUACCAGCCCAGAGAUGGUCCCACCCACAAGGGGCCUUUCCCCCUCGGUCACUACUUGAGAAAAUGCCUUACAGUUGGAUCUCAUGGAGGCAUUUCCUCAACUGAAGCUCCUUUCUCUGUGAUAACUCCAUCUGUGUCAAGUUGACACAAAACUAGCCAGUACAGUACUAUUCUAGGAAUGGCAGGACCAAGUGACCGAAGGACCAUUAGUCUAUAAACAAGUAGAGGAGAAGAACCUCCAUGGUGCUCAAGCUACUGUGUGAACAAGACCUUCUUUGGUCUAAAAUGCUGGGAUCUACUUGUUGGCGUGCCCAGUUACACGUGGUACUUGUCUUUCAUUCUUUCCAAGUGUCAACUUGGGUGAUAUUCAUUUUGCUGGUAAAUAUAUCGUGUUCUUCUGGUAUUUAAAUGUUAUUUGUCUUGCACACUCUGUUCUCUAGUAAGUCUUUGUUUAACAGUGCUGUUCAUAAUUCUAACCAUGGUUGGUUUACCUUUUAAAAGACCCUAGUAAGGAGUUUAUCUGCCUGAAGAUACUUACAAAGGCCUCACUCUGCUCCUUCCCUUUGAAAUCUUUGACUCAUCCCAUUGUUGAUGCCUUUUCACAUUUCUAGAACUGAAUGUCAAGUCUUACUUUCCAGAAUGCUUCCUUUGUCCCCCAAGUGUUCCCAUUGAUCAUUUAUAUCUCCUACUUCCACUAUCUACCUGUCUUAGACUCAAUUGGUCAAAUUGGAAGGCACAACACACUAUUGUUGGGUAUUUGCAUCUCACCUACCCUGAGAUUUCUGUUGAAAUUUUUUUUUCUUUGCAUGGGGUGGGGCAGGGUCUUCAGUAGUCUCCUUAGUGGGUGUUAAGUGGGUCUUGUAUUCUCUCUGAACCUUGUGUUUCUGUAACUAUUGUACAAAUUGGGCAAGUGGAUGACAUCUGGCUUGGGUGUCUGGCAGUUGAUGGAUAUUUUUUCAUUGUCUCCCCCAUCCAAGUCUUGCAGAUGGCAGUGAAGCUCCACAUGCAAUUACGGCACUUGGUUUCUUUUGGCUCUGUAGGGUGUGUGUGAAGAUUUCCUAUCAUCUUUAGAUGCUGGAUACCCACCUUGAUGCUCAUCCUUUCUUGUAACUCCUAUACAGAGCCCAGUGCCAUUUACAGGCUCAAACCUUUCUCUAACACAGAGCAAAUGCCUGCCUUUGUUUAAUUCUCAUCUAUUCUUUUUCCGCCCCUCUUCCUCAUCCUGAUAUUACUGUUAUCUACAAGUCAGGUCUCUGGGGGCUUGUUCUCCACAUUUAUUUUGCCCUUGAUUUUUGUUUCUUUGUAUUUUUGAUCUUGUGAUAUUUCUUUUAUUUCCUGCUUGAUCUUCGAAGCCGCUAAUUUAGGUCUCUACAGCAACCAUCCUUUUCAGCAAUGCAUCUGCUGAGCUUUUGGGUUUGAAAAUUAUGAUUUUUAGUCUCAGAAAGGCUCUCUUGUGCUGUAAUUGAAUAUCAUUAAGUGCUGUUAUUAUUUUUGUUUGAGUUGCCCUAGGUCUCAUCCAGCAGCUCGGUUUUAUCAGUGGCUCCCUUUUUGAGUGUUUGGAGUCUUCUUCUCUCUAGCUUCUGGUGCCCUCUCUGAGAAUUUUCUCUUUCUUUGUCUGUAUGCUGAGGCUUAAAAUCCAGCUGUUGGCUGCCUUGAGGUGAGAUCUACAGAUAGUAGAGUUGGCAUUGUGGUCCCCCUCCUGGGGUAGGUUGCAAGUUGCUUUAGGCCACCACAAAGAAUUUAGCUACCCUAACUCCUAGCUAGAGAAGAGUUAAUCUACCCAUUAGCUUUCCAGCCCCUCCUCCCAGCACUGAGACAGGAUAUUAUCUCUUCAUGUUUGUAUCAAUUCCAGCUGCCUUUCUCCUGAGAGCCAUCCAUCCUGGGUGAUACUCUCCCCUGGGUUCAGGAAUGUCUAUGCCCAUGGUCUGUUAGCGGCUGCUUUUCUCUAAGCUAUCCAUCCAGCCCUAUAGAGCUUGAGUUUCUUCCAUUCUCACACUAUCCUUGCAUGCCUUCUCAGCAGCUGCCGAGAUCCACAGAGCAGCCAGAAGGUACACAGAGCUAACAGAGACAAUUCCAAUUGUCCUUAUGCACACCUUGAUGCUACUGUUGCUGGACUUGCCUCAUUGAUUUCUGAAAUUUCAAAAGGAAAUGUUUGGAAACUUCCAGGUGAAUAUAUGUAUAUUUUCUUCUCUCUUUCUUUCUUUCUCUCUGUCUCUCUCUGUCUCUGUCUCUCUGUCUCUGUCUUUCUCUCUCUGUCUCUCUCUGUCUGUCUCUGUCUCUGUCUCUCUCCCCAAGACAGGGUUGCUCUGUGUAGUCUCAGCUGUCCUGGAACCCAGAAAUCCUCCUGCCUCUGCCCCCUAAAUGCUGGAAUUAAAGGUGUGUUCCACCACACCUCAGAUCAAAUAUUCCUUUUAAUGUCUUGGUUUCCUGGCUAAGUAAUUAAAAUGCAAUAAGAAAACAAGGAGGUAGGACCUUUGCAGUCCUGUGGAUACUGCCACGUUCUAGAGAAGAACUGUCUGGGAAGAUUUUUGUUCACUGGGAAGUAUUUGAACAGACCUUUAAGAAAAUUCAAGUUGUAUAUUUCAGUAUCACUGGGUAGGGCUGGCAGUCACUUAGGUGACUUCUAGGUUUCACACACCAUCAAUUAACAGCUGCAGAAAUGAAAUGAUUUCCAUGAAAUGAUGGAAUGGUGUGAUGGGUAAAGGGUUUGGUGACAUCUGAAGAUCACAGCCAAGAACUGGGGGAUGGCAAGAAAGAGAAGGCCUGAGGUGAUAUCAAGGACUGACAGCUUGGUGUGGGCCAGUGAGGACGAUCAGAUAGAUCUACUUCUUAAAGGAAACUGAAGGCCAUCAAGUCACAGGGUGUCAGUUAAACUCCUAUUCAUUGGGUACUUGAAUAGCUGGCUUAGAGGUACUUAACCUUUCGGGUGAGAAGGGUUCGAAUGGAACCUAGGUCGAGAGUGUUUACCUCUUCCACCGAAAACUAUGAUCCAUAAUAAUGAUCAGCUAAUUCUAGAGCCUCAUCUUUUCCAUAGCAGCACACACUCCAUACAAACACUGUGCCUGCUGCUGUCCUCUGUGUCAUGUGGGAUCUUCUCCCAACCCCGUCAGGGAGUGUUUCUGGAAGUCUGUAAAGCGAAGCUAAAGAACUCAUUCCAGGUCACAUGUGACUAAAUAACCAAGGGGCAUCUUAGGAGCUGAUGAGGAGGUCAAGGGCGUAUGUGACAACGUUGUUAGACAGCAUGGGUUCCGCUCACACAGUGGGUAGGUUAAGAAAGCAAUAGCAGUAUUUGUUCUCUUGUUUCUUGAAGCUGUUUCACUGCUUUCUGGGAAGAGCAUUUUGGAAGACUUUUGAUUCCCAGGCAGGAGCAAGAAGGCAGGGAAAGACUAUCUUUUAUAGCAUGGUGAUUAGAAUGGGAUACCAGAGCCCAAACAACAGAAAGACCUCUGUCUAGAAGGGAGAAAUAUGAAGGGGAGGGGAAUAAAUGCACACGGGAGAAGUCACCCAUUGUACUAGCCAUUCCUCUCGAAGGGACUUUCUUGUUGGUUGUAGUGUAUCGCAUGGCUUGUUUAAAAAUUAAAAUUUAAGUGGUAAAAGUGAGGCCAGAGAGUUAGUUCAGUGGGUAAGGCAUCAUAUGAGCACUGGAGUUUAGAUCUCCAGGACCUAUGUAGGGAAGGUGUGGUAUCGCCCAUCUGUAGCUCCAGCGUUCUUAUGGGAGAUGGGAGGCAGGAGUAAAACUCUCAGAAGCUUGCAGUCUUGCUUGCCUGGCAUAGACAGUGGUGAGCAUCAAGACACACUGCCUCACACAAGGUGAGACUCAAACAAGGACUGGAACAUGAGGUUGUCCUUUGACCUCCACACAUGCACCACACAUGCACAUGUACAAGCACAAGCACAAAGAAUCUUUAUGAAUAACGUAUAAGCAAAAAUCAAAACAAUACAGUAGCUGGAUAAAAGCUGUGAUUCAUCAUGUGUGGGGGAAAGAUAGCAAACACCAGAUAAGGACACUUGUCUGGGGAGAAAAAAAAACCUGCUUCAAGAAAGCUCCUAUUUACUUGUAUCCGCUCCCUUCAUUUUCAAAGGCCCUUACGAUGCACUUUACACUGUCACAGUGAUGAAGCCAGAAAUCCCAGAGGGAUUGGUUCAAGGCCGAGCUCCUGUGCAGUUUGAAGUAGUUUGUUAUAGUUUAUUUUUGGUUUGAUUGGCUGCAGUUUGAAGUCUGGAGUAAAAGCCACAUGGGGGCUUCUAGGAAAGAAGUCCCCUUUCAAGGCAGCCUGGAGAUCAAGCAGUUAGUCCUCACUGCCCUUGGGUUUUUUUUUUUUCCUUCCUUGCUGUUAGUAAUGAUUAAAUGGAAUUUCUCAAAUAUUCAGUGAAUAGCUACUAGAUGUCCAUCACUGUACAUGACAUUAGGGGGAUAAAAAUGUAAGCUGUAGGUAGUGCCUCUUGCCCUUGGGACAAAGAGGUCCCUGUCCUGGUGUUUCUGGGAUUUGCUAACGCAGAAUCUGUCUAUAUCUGUCCUUGAUUUCUAUAGGCUUCUGUUCUGCAUGCUGGGUACACCAGGAUAGCCCAGUCCAUGCUCAUCCUAGAUGGUCUCCUGUCACUUCAGAGUGGAAACAGCCAACCUGGCAUGUGUUUGUUUGAGACUCUGGAAUUCUAAAUCCUUUAAACCAUGACCUCUUCUGGGAUGCCUAAGGGAUGGGGGAAAUUUGCCUGGUUCUAUCUUAGAAAAUGACAUCAUGCACGAGUGAGAGAAAAAAAAAAAAAAGAAACAAACAAAAUCAUGACCCCUCUACCACCCAAGUCAUGCAAGUUCCCACCUCUUACCGCAGCACACUGGAAUCUGGGUAGUCUGACUUUUAGGAAUUCUUUUUACACAAAACUCAUUCAGGAGAGUUGUUAAGUCUUGCAGUCAGUCUCUUCUGCUGGGAGGUGUGUGUGUGAGUGAGUUAGUGUGUGUGUGUGUGUGUGUGUGUGUGUGUGUGUGUGUGUGUGUGUAGCCAGUCAGUUUGACACAAACUCCCCAGAAUUUUAGAAUAGAUGGUUUUCUGAGAACUAAGGAAAAAAUGUGGUAAUUACCCUAGGGUUAGCAAGAGUCCUAUAUGAACUGACAUGAGGUACUAACCUUGGCUCUUCUUCCCUAUGGCUAUUGUGCUGUGAGGUCAGAGGAAGGACACAGCAAGGGCUGGGGGGUAACCUAAUACCUGCCACCCCAACCCUCAUAAAGGACAACUCCUUUGCAUAUGGUGCUGGGAUGUGUUCUCUGGUUUUUGUGUUUGCUAUUUCCUGUGGUACUUGAGUUUUUUGCCUGCUAGAGAGGAAAGAUGGUUCUGUUUGUCAUUCUGUGACUUUAAAAAUCCAUGGACUGUUUCAUUUCCAGGAUGCCUGUUGUUUGUAGGACAUCUUCAUGCAAUUACUUGCUGUCUAUAGGUAGGACACAUAUGGGCUUGCUAAUCCCUGAAUUGGAUAGAGUGACUAAUAACAGAAGCUGGGAAGGGUCUGUCUACAUUUAUAGAAAUAUAUAGAAUUAAGGGGCAGGGAAGGAAUAGAAGGUGGUGUUGUGGCUGUUUAGCUUCCUGGAAUAUUGCUUCUGGAAAAGGGCAGUGCAGAAAUUAAACUUUUUUUUUCUUUUUCUUUCUUUUUUUUUUUUUUUUUUUUGAAAGAUGGGACCUAAAGACAAGGAAAAGAAUGGGUUUGCUUUUAACGAUUUCAAAUAGAAUUGAGGCUGUUCCUGCGAUUGUUGGAAGUAAAAUUGGUUAGAAAAUGAUGUCAGUGGAGAGUGGGGACUGUGAACCAGGAAAAUAAAUGAGCUCUGAAAUCACCUUCCAUUUUAUAAAUAUUGUUUCUGGAGCUGAGAAAAUUGAGAUAGAUUAUUCUUUUUUUCUCUCUCCCAAGUCAUGAGUGGAAGAAGCCCUGAGUAUCCCAUUUGGACCUUGUGAGGAGCAUCUCAUCUUGUCCUGGUGUGCUAAGUAGCUUUGUCUGCAUUUAGACACAGUCCAUUUCCCUUCCAAGGACCACUAUCAGCAGUAGCAAUUACAAACACACCUCAUAACACAUUAUUGAGACACUGCACGCAAAUAAGCUGGAGAGAUGUUUAAUGAUUGUACCACAUCACGUCCAUUACAGUCUGUCCUCUCUGCCACAGGAUGGAGGGGCGGGCUCUUGUGUGUGAGUGCUUCUGUGCCUAUGUGUUUCUGUGUAUUUCAUUUCCCCAGCAUCUUAAUUAUACACGGCCCGAGCCCAAUCGGUUUGCACGUUCAAGGAGGGAGAAGGCUUCACAUCCCGACAAGCUCCUCUCAAGCUCGAGACUCCGUAUCUUUGGAUUUCUAAAAGUAUUGGUGCUAUUAGCAGCCUGAAUUCAUCCGAGAACAAGGAACGAUGCGUUUUCUGACUCUAUGGGUGGCAGCUUUUUGUUAUCUGUUUCUUGUGGAGAGACAAAAGGUGGGCCAUUUAGAGAGAUGUUAUAUAGAUACGUCACUUUUUCAUCCGCUGCUUUGCUUUUAUAGGACGAGCUUUCCAUCUUCAGUUCUCUUUUCCCCAUUGCUGUUUGGUCAUAGCAACAGCUGUACUCUAGACCUGAGCAAUGCAGUGGUUGACUGAAAAAGAACUAGGCCUUUUCUUAGUAUGUUAGCAGAGUGGAAAUGGGAGAGAGAACAGCUAGGUCCAGAGUGGUGAAAGGGCACCCUUUCUUCUUAAGGAUGGGGGCUUUUGACUCUAUCAUAUCUACUUACUACAUAAGUGGUGGUUAUCAGGAUUAAGGAGAGAGGAGUUAUUUUCUCGAGUACGUGGCUAGCUAAUGGAGGAAUCUGGGGUCUUGGUCCCUAGUCCAAGCUCUUUGCAAAUGUGAGCUGUGCUGCAUUUGUUUCUGCAAAAUGCUGAGCUCAGUAGGGAGUAGGGAGCUGCCAGUAGAAAUGCUUGGAGUCUUCUGGACCAUCCAGCCAUGACAACCUCUACAAAGCUCACCAAUGUUAUAUGCUUGUGUAGUCUUCGCUCUCCAAGGAGACUGACUCCCUUCCACAGAGACUUUCAAGACAGGGCAUUUUGUUGCUAAGGAUUGUUUUUUUAAUCAAAGCAAAAAUUUUUUCUCUUUGUUUUUUUUUUUUUUCUUGUUGUUUGUCUGUUUUGUUUUGUCUUUUGUUUUUUGUUUUGUUUUGGAGUGCUCGAGAUUUCUACUAGCAUUCCCGUUUUAAUACUCUUUUUUAACAGUCUGGGGUUUUCCAUGAUGAGGUGGAAUAAGGAAGACAGAACUGAACUUUGUGUUUGCUUUUAAGUCCAGCAGAGAUGUUUUUAGUCAGAUUAGCCUGGGUUAAGCUUUGGAGCGCCUGUUUGUGUAGUUGAGCCUGUGAUGUGUCCAGAGACCUAAACUUACAUUUCAUUCAUUAUGUUCUCUGGUCCUUGUCAAGUGGAUUGCUUUUGAAGGUUUUUUUUGCCCAUCUGUCACUUCUAUUAGUAAGAUCAAUAUUUGUGAUUGGUGUGGUGAGGAUGGAGUUCUGGGACCCUGGCAACUCAAUGCUGCUCAUCUACAACUUGAAACCUCAGAGUUCACAUCGGGUCAGAGGCAGGAGCCUGCCUUGGUGUUUCCUGAAUCACACUGCCUGGCUUGAGGGAGCCUGUGUUUGCUCACAGCCAGGCAGAUGGUGCCAACUAGCGUGUCUUCCUACUGCUACUUUAGCAGCCAGAUAGAGAAAUGAGACAUGGUAGCUAGCAAAUCAGAAUUAGGGAGAAUCUGCUCUGUCUCUGUGUGUUGAGUGCGUGUUGCUGGGAAGGUUGGAAGACUCUGAGAGAGACGGGAUUCUAGACCUGAGGAAGCAGUUGUCCAUGACUGGUGAUCUACAUGAAAUCGGAGCUCACCCUUGGGGGUGGGGAUUGAAGGGAGCGCUGAAUGGUGUGUGUGUGUGUGUGUGUGUGUGUGUGUGUGUGUGUGUGUGUGUGUGUAUCAUGAUCAGCACCACAAACAGCAUCAUGAAUGAAUUCUGGUGUUACAAAACACUUCCUAAGCAAACAGUCACUUGGUCUCUUGUCUUUGUCAUCCACACUUUGCUGUGCUGGUUUUAAAAUGAGGUGGCAAUAAGUUCUGCAGUUUUUUCCAGUCCAUUCUGCAGUAGGAAGACUGAGUCCCAGAGGGGACCAACUUAAAUGUGGUGACUCUAUGGAACAGGCCUGACCUCAGGAUCUCAGGGAUGAUGUGGCUGUUGGUACAGAAAUAAUCCUUUUGCUUUUUCUUGGAUUCUAUUUCAGAAGCAACAGGAAAACAACAGCAAUGCCCUGAAGGGUCAUUUUCAGCGGGAUUAGAGGAUGGAAUAAAAUGUUUGGAAUCUGAAAUAAAGACAAGGGCUGUGUUUGAGACAGGCAUUGAGGGAGAAAUGAGGAGAUUUAGAUAGGAGAAUGGCCAGUAGACCCAGGGGCAGGAAUUUGGUACAGCUUCCGGCAGAAUGUAUAUUCCAGCGGUGUGGGCAACACUCAAAUUCUAGAGACCCAUUGUGUUACUUGUCUGCAAACCAUGAGCAGGAACUUGCAUAGACAGAACUGAGCCAACCCAUCGUCUGGGUCAUUGUUUGCUGGAAGCAGAGGAGCCUCAAGGCUAGAAAGAAUCAUAUAAAGGAGACUGUUUACAGGUAGCAAUAUCUGUGACAGCAGGAAGAGAACCCUCUCCCUUCAUGUCUUUCUUCCCAUUCUGCAUUCUUCCUAGCGUGUAUAGUGAACCACAUAAAUACUUCUUAGCUUGGUGAACUUUUAUGGAUGUGUGUGAUCAUCCCUGGGUCAUGAUAUUGAACCUUCGACCAUCCCAGAAGUUUUCUAUGCAUUAGCCUCCAGACAUUAGCUUUUCCUCUAAAGAAAGCUUUAUUUUAAAGAAUGAAGGUCUUCUUUCCUCCUCCUCCCAUUAUAGGAACUUUGUGCAAAGAAGUCGUCCAAGAAAGCCUCCCUUGUACAGCAGCAAGUAAUAAAAAA